GCACGGGUGAGUAACGCGUAUGUAAUCUGCCUUGUACAGAGGGAUAGCCCAGAGAAAUUUGGAUUAAUACCUCAUAGUAUUACUGAAUCGCAUGAUUUGGUAAUUAAAGCUCCGGCGGUACAAGAUGAACAUGCGUGACAUUAGCUAGUUGGUAAGGUAACGGCUUACCAAGGCCACGAUGUCUAGGGGUUCUGAGAGGAUGAUCCCCCACACUGGUACUGAGACACGGACCAGACUCCUACGGGAGGCAGCAGUGAGGAAUAUAGGUCAAUGGACGCAAGUCUGAACCAGCCAUCCCGCGUGAAGGAUGACUGCCCUAUGGGUUGUAAACUUCUUUUAUAUGCAAAUAAACCUACUUUCGUGAAAG
rnacentral:rRNA from 1 species